CAGCCACAGCCUCAAAGAGAAAUCAAGUCACGAGACUACGGCCGCUCGGGACCAGGCAGACCGCCGGGAAGGAACGCCAGGGAUGGCUAUCCUCGUGUUUCAGAGUCUACCUUUUAAUUCAAGGGCCCACGUGAGGAUGCUGCUGGCCCCAGAGAUGGAGUGGGGGGGUCCCUCAUAUUCCCACUCAGCCAGCUGUGGCUGCGGCAUGUGCCCUGAAUUCCUCACAGGAUAGAAGACGUGGGCCUGCUGACCAGCAGGGACAGGAGGCGUGGGUGCACAUGCCUGAAGCCACCAGUGCUGAAAGCAAGGGCCUGGAUCAGGUUCUGGCUCCACCAGGUACCAGCCGUGUCAGCUUCCUCUUGCCAAUGAAACGGCAUUGUUCAAACAGCACUGAGGACUCAGAGGACACACCGGCGCCGCAGACCCAGCCGCCGUGAGGAACUG